UUCAUUUCUGCUGCACCACAGCACGAACUCCAUAUUACUGUCUUUUUCAAUAGGACAAAGUUUCCAUUUGAUAAUUUGUUUUCUAAUCUCAUUCAUGACUUUUUAAUGUUAAGAAAUUUUUAAUUUUUUGGCACUGUCUUUCAAACAGCAGCAUUUCUGAGCACCCUACUCAAGAACUGUGCUGGGUACCAUGGAAUAUACAGAGAGACAUAAAAUUGGAUUGUUGCCUUCAAGACAGUUGAAAGGACAUGAUGUGAUACAAUAGGAAGAGAAUGGACCCCAGUGUCACAUUCCCUGAUUAAAAUCCCUGCUUAAAUUCAAGUUAGCAACUUGCUCUCAAUAUACUUAACUUCUUAGAAACCAAUUGCCUUAUCUGUAAAGUACAGAAAAAAUACCUACUUCUCAAUUUUAUGAUUAAAAUAUGGUUUAAAACACCUAAUAUAGUACCCAGACUCUAACAACUGCAUGAUGCAUUUAAAAAAAAAUAGUUGAGGAAGAAAUACCUAUCACAUGAAAAUAUAGGCAGGAAAUGCUUAGUGCUAAAUUGAUAGCAUAGAUGAUCAUUACUAUAGAAUUCAAAGGAAGGAGGUCAUUUCUAGGGGAAUGUGGUCAUAACAUAUUGAUUGAAAAGGAGAACUGAAGCUGAAUCCUGAAAGGUAGGUAGUCCAUGGAGAAGAAUGAGGGCAUCAUCCCAGGAAAGGAGAGCCAAGGUGUGGACACAAGAGUGAGCUGAAGAUGUUCGGAUAGAGGCAGAGCCCAUAUAUUUGGAAAGACACACUGCGGUCAGAUUAGAGAGGGCAUUAAGUGCCACGCUAAUGAGUGUGGGUUUUUCUUAGAGGAAGCCUCUUUAGAUUUAUAAGCAGAGUAAGAACAUGAUGGAAAUUGUGUUUUAGAUUGAUGACAUUCUGGCAGCCAGCCAUAUAGAUUGGGGUCAGCAAGAGUGGCAAGGAAGGCAGAAACUGGUUUAAAUGUAGGCCAAGCAUUAGCAAGUAAGUGCCUAGCAUCUUCCAGGGCACUGGUGUUGGAAAGUGAAUGGAAUAGGGGAGAUAGUUGUGAGCAUCAUGAAAGUAAGAACUGAAGAGACCUAGUUUUGAGUAGGUAAUGCUAAGUGGUGGUAGGAGGGAGACUUCAGAGAUGACAUCCACAUUUUAAGCCCCAGUGACUGGACGAAUAAUAGCACCAUUGAACAAAAGCAGAGGUGAAGGCCAGAGAAGAACAGUGCUCUAGCAAUUUGGAUAAAAUAUGAUUCCUUUAUAUUAACACACAGUGUUUGAAGUGAAGGCAAUAUAAUCUAGUGGAAAAGUUCACUGUUCAGUUGGAAAUCCAAGCCUGGGGCCAGGAGGGAUGAUAGGGCUGGAGUUACAGAACUAAGAUUCAUUUGCAGAUGACAUGAGAUGAAAGACUUUCUAUUGAGAGUGGUAAAGUCUCAAUGACUAAAACUUGGCACGCUCAUAUUUAUUAAGAGCAGCAAAUGGAGCUAGUGAAGAGGACAGAGAAGGAAAGGUCAGAGAGAAUGAACAAGAACUAUAAUAAUACAGUGCUAUGAGAGCCAAACGAGAGGCGAGGGUCAAAAAGAAGAUAGGAACAAACGAUCAACCAUAUCAGAUACUGCAGAAAGGCUGAUGAGAACAAGAAGCUGAUAAUGUCAAUGGGUUCAGCCCUUAUGAGGUCAAUGCUCUUCCUGCAUAUGGAUUCAGAAUGCUGGGUUGGCUGAUUGCAGAACAAGAGAGAAAAAAAAGUACAAGAUAGUGAUGCAAACUGUGGGUCCUGAGAGCAGACUCCCUGGACUUCAGUCCCAUCUCUGCUGCCACAUUGCUGUGUGAUCUUCUUCAAGCUACUUAAGUCUUUAUGCCUUCAUAUUUCCAUAUUGAAAAUGGAAAUAACAAUGGGAAUUAUAGUAGCUAACUGAUAAGUUUUUGGGGAGGCGAAAGGACAACAUAUAUACAUUACUUAAGACUGUAUAGGCACUGAGCAGGCAAGCAAAUGAUAUUUAUCAUUGAAACCCUGGGUAAUCAUUAGUCAAAUCCAUUUCACCUGCCUUCACUAAUCAAGGGCCUCCACAAAAGACCUGCAUGUUUUCCAAGAGGCAGGUAGCCUAAAAAACAAGAUGUUUGCCCUCGUUGUUUUCCAGGAACUUGGAGUUCGUUGUCUCUUGAUUGAGCUGAGCUUGUUAAGACUGAAUAGAACCACUGACCCUCCAACUGGGCAUGCGUGAAUGUUUUACCUCCGUGACCUUUUGACAUCUGAAGACUGAAAAUUCCACCUUCAGAUCAUGGUAAGUGCCUCCAGUUUUUUUUGUUUUUGUUUUUGUUUUUUUAAAUAUGCAGAGGCUUGUACUUAGUUAAACCUGUGUAGAGCAGUGAUAACUAUACCUUUUUCCAGUCACCUUUCUCCACACUCCCCACACCUCAGACUCUCCUGAUUCUUUGUUCUUUAUCCCAUAAAUACCCCAUCUCCCUGGCUUGCGGGGAGACAGAUCUGAGACUCAUUCUCCCAUCUCCUUGCCUGGCUUGCCUUGCCUUGUGAAUAAACCCUCUCUCUGCUGCAAAUGCCAGUGACUCCACAUUUUGGCUUGCUGCACAUCGGGCAAAAUAAACCUUGGUUUGGUAACAUCAUUUUUUGUUAUUCAUAUUUGCUAUUACUGGAAGUGGAUGCUGAGUGGCAUUUGGGCCAGUCUUAGUAGAGAAAAGCAGAAGUAAAGUAACAGGAUAGCUGGGGAAAGCUUCCCAGGCACAGGUGUGUGCAUACCUGCAGGCAAUUGGGAAGCGGGAGCCAAGGCAGGCAUAGAAAGUGAAGGUACCAGGGGAAGAGGAAAUGUGAUGGAGCAAAGUCACCAAGGAGAAGGAGAGUACCGGUUUAUGGAUUCAGGUUGAUUAAUUAGCCUGGAAAGAAGGGCUAGACACCACCUGAGAUCAUAAAAAGGGGUAUUCAUAUGGAGAUGGAAUUUUGAAGGGAGAGCACGAAAACACAAGUGCAGGCUUUUUUUCCUCCCAGUAAAGGAAGCACUGAGGCAUUGGCCCGAAAUGAGAAGAGGUGAAUGGAUGAGGGUCUCAGAGCAUUUGCAAAACUUCCUAACAAAUUCUAUUUUCAAGUUUAGGCUUCCUUCAGACUUUUUUUUUAAUCUCAUGGUAGCUCCAAGUAGAAAGCAAGAAAAGAAAAAGAGGUAGAAGCAAUUAGAAAAUGUUGCAGGAUUAAUCUAGUUCCACCCAGCAAAAUGGCUAAGAGAGCUAACAGUGGAAACCAGCACUCAACCUGAUAAGUCAGUGUGCCUCCUGUUGGGAGGCAAACCAAGGAGAAUCAGCUACAGCAGAGGCUGGGGCUCAAUCAAAGGUCUAAGUGAACCCUAUAAAUACGUCUUGCAUGGUUUGAACAAUAAGCCAAUGGCCUGAAAACCUUGACUUUUCAAGGCAUCUUCAAGGUCCUUUCUGAUCUGGUUUCAGAAAGCCUUCCUGUUCCACCUAGAAUGACGUUUGAUACUGAGUGGUCUUCCAGGUUUAACUUCUCUAUGGAUGCACAAAUUGUCAAAGUAAGUUGUGUUCUCAAUUAAAAAAAAUUAUUUUCACCAAAAUUUAUGUCUAGCACCAACAGCCCCCCUGAAUCUGCUGGUUGAUCCUUGGUUUCCCACAUCAUUCUGGGGCAAUGGGAAAGGAGUGCACAGUCAUUCUCAGGACUGGUGAGCAUAUGUGCCCUCAUCUGCUUUCUGCAUUUUCUCUAUUCAACAAUUUCUCUUGAUGCACCAGCUUUAAAUAUUAACUCAGAAAGAUGGAGGGAAGAGUUGGUCCUACAGGGCUAUAAGCCUGUUGGAUCCCAAGGGAAUAUGGGCAUUUCAGAUGCUAUAAAUAAGCAGAGGGAAAAAUCUGAUGAAGAUAAAGUGCUAUGUGCCAUAGCUGGUUAUUCUGAGCAGCUUUGAUGCUGCCAGGCUAUUAGACUUGCUUCUGUUUUUGCCAUCAGUAUCGCUCUGGAGAUGGUUUAUUUGCAAAAGGAGCAGGAUCUAGGAUAUGCAUUCAUUUGUAAAAGAUGCCACCACACACAUUCUGCAGCUAAUACCACGUUCAUGAACUUUACCUGUGACUAAAUACAUUUCAUUUCUUAGAGCUGAGCUUCAGUAAUUGGUUUUUGCAGCCACAAACACAUCCAGCAAGGAAAAUAUGAGAAGCCCAGUGCUCUCUCUGCUUUUAGAAAUGACUUUUGCUGCAGAUGGAAAAAGCCAUCCCAGCUCUGAGUUGGCAGAUCCUGAGGUCAAAUCUUAGAGAGCUGGCAUCUAGAAACUCAAAGGCGAGGAGGAGCAGGUGGCUUUGGAAGAGUAAAUGACUUCAAAGGUAGGUAACAGGGGAGGGGAGGUUUGCUAACAGUGGAAAGGAGGUGGUGUGGGAAGACUGGAUCCCUGUAGAAAUAAGCUUCCCAUCCACAGCACAUGACAGCUCAAUGCGGUGUGUUUUCCCAAGUCUCUGCAGUCGUGGAGGUCUCAAAGUGCUUAGUAAGCUACCAAGUCAUAAAGCACAACCACUUCCAGACUAAAGUACCAUCGAGGGCUGAAGAAUCAUCAUGUUUUUGGGAUUUGGCUGUGAGAAGGAAAUGUGGGUUCAUCCAGUGGAUUGAUUUGUUAAUUUAUUCAGGGAAAAAAAAAAAAGAAGGCUAAAUAUGGAGCAUUUGCUUUGGCCUUGCACUGAAUUAUACACUUCAACAGUUCCGUUCAUGGUUUCCACAUUUCCAAAAGAAUUAAACUAAUUGGUAAAACCCUGAUGUCUACACAUAAAAUUGAUACUAAAAAAUAAGUGCCAAGAUUCCAAAAAUGCAUCAAUGGGAUAUGCAGAAUAAUCACAUUUUCUCCUAGGCUAGUUCUAGAGACAAUUAUGAUGUAGGAAAAUUUGCCUUAAAUCCCCUCAUCUCCUUCCCUUCCCCUUCUUACCUCUGCCUGCCAAGAAAGUCAACAUAUCCGACUUUUUCCCUUCUGCCUGAAAAAACACAUUGUGGGCAUCCUCAAAUCCCAGUCGCUCCCAUCUCUUUCUACCCUGAAAUUCAUCUUUUAAAAAUCAUUUCAUCCUAUACUAAAAGCUAGAGGCUGAGGAGGAAGCACUUUGACAACACUAUUUGUAUUUUCACAACUCCUCGAUUAUGGUAGAAUGUCACUUACAGAAGCAGGGCCAGGAAGAUGAUUCAGGGGGGAUAGGAAGGUUAUUUUUAGGACAUCUUGGGUCAUAUAAAGGUUAUAUCUACCUUUCAUUCUCACUUUCCAUUCUUUGGCCUUUCUUUCAUCAACCAUAGGACCUACUAUGUAUAAAGCCACUGUGCUCAGUACAGAGGCCUAAAGAUGGAUGGGCCACAGUCCUUGUGAAACUGUGGGCAGUAAUGAGUCAAAUCCAUUUCACCUGCCUUCAUGAAUCAAGGUCCUUACCUGUUCUUCAAGGGGCAGGGAGCCCAAACAAUAAGAUAUUUGCCCAAGUUAUUUUCCAGGAACUUGGAGUCAGCUGUGUGUUGAUGGAGGUAAGUUCAUUAAGACUGAACAGGACCACCCACCCUCUAGCUGGGCACGUGUGAGUGUUUGAGCUCAGUGACUUUGACAUUAGAGGGCUGAAAACUCCACCCUUGGAAGACACAGAGGCCUGUAGCCUAGUUAAGCCUGUGAAGAAUGACUACUGCUGCACCUUUUUACAAGCACAUUUUCCCUACGCUCGCCAUGCCUCACGCAGUCCUGCUUCUUUAUUCUUUAUGCCAUAAAUACCCUGAGCCCCUGGCCUUGGGCUAGGCUGAUUUGAGAUUACUUCUCUUGUCUCCUUGCUUGGCUGCCUUGUGAAUAAACUGUCCCUUUGCUUGCAAACCUCAGUGUCAAAAUGUUGGCUUGCUGUUCAUCAGGCAAAACAAACUUUGUUUGGUAACACUUGUCUUAGAGAGGCUCACAAUCUGGUGGUAUUUAAACAGUUAAAGUGCAAUUUAGUAAAUGCUCAAGCAAUGUAUGGUCAACAUGCUGUGAAAACCCAGGAAGGAGAUGGCAUGAGGAAAAGUUUGUCAGCAUCGGUGAGGUUUGAGCUGGUAUUUUAAAAAUGUAGAAAAUUGGCCUGGCUGCAAAGGACAUUAACAUGGAUUCAACAGAUAGAAACUCAAAAUCAUUCUGGAAGAAAAUCACAUGGAUGGCUUUUGACCAGCUGUGCCAAAUUGUCUCAUCUACUGCUUAAAUCUGGAGAUUCAAGGAUCUGGACUAUUAGGCAGCUCACUCCCCAGUCAAGAGAGAGUAGAGAACUUGGCUGGCUUCCUCGGAGCACGCAGGUAAGGCUGUGAACAUACCACAGUGUUUUCGCUGGUGAGAGAUUCCCCUCUUGAGUGUAUAAUUAGAAUCCAGUAACAACCUAGAACCAGAGACACUUCUCACUGUUCAGCAGGUGAUAAGUGAAAGCUCCAGAUUGGAUUUAAAGUCAAUAGUCCAGUACUCCAGACCCAUCACUCUAGACCUGUAUUCAAUCCCAUUUUAUCUCUGGUACAGGAGAUCUGAUGAAUUUGGGCAUGCAGUGAGAAGGCACGGAAAGAAAAUCAAAUAGAUUUUUCUCCAGUUCUGGUUGCUUGGGUAGUAGGUGAAUAUAAUAUCAAGCCCUCCUUGCCUUCUCUUUUUCUUACUUUCUUGGGAACAGCUCUCCUCUAGAACCCAGGCUUGAACUCUGGGCACCAUAUUGAGAUGGUGGAAUGCCAUGGUUAAGACUGCAGAAUUUUGGAGACAGAUGACCUGGUUUAAAUCCAAGCUCCUUCAGUAACUAAGUAUAUGACCUUAAUUCCAGGAAGAAGGACCUAUGAUAAAUUCAAAGAACCAUGAUAGCUAUCCUGGGCACAGAAUGCUGCUCUUUGAAUAAAGCAUUUGAGGGAAAAGUCAUCACAGACGAGUGCUUGGCUCUCCUUCCUCAUUUGGGAUUGGCUUUGGGAUAAGGCCAUCUCAUUGAUAUCAGUUGCAAACUCAAGGGCAAGGAAUGAAUGCAGGGCCUAAACAGUCUUCAACACAGAAGAGAGGUGUGGAGAACUUUCCCUUGUUCAGUCAUUGGUGAGCAGUUAGUCAUCUCUCUCCAACUAAAAGCUUCAAGGUGAUGUGGUGAAACUCAAAGCUUGUAUCUCAAAUUACUUCCCUGUGUAUUUAUGUGCUUAUUCCAGACCAGGAGUUUCUGGGGAUGAUGUUUUGGGGAUCAUUGUACAUUUAACAUAUUAUCUCUGAUUAAAACCUUCAAAAACACAAACCCUGGCCCACUCAGAUAAUAGUCUGGUCUCAUAUUUUCAAGCUAUUUAUCCUUUAACAGUAAGGAAUUUCUUUUUAUAUAGAUUAUAAGAAAUUCAAGGCUGGGAGUUAGAAAGCUUGGGUUCCAAGAAUGUUUGACAGGUGAUUAGAUCAGAUGAUCUCCGAAAUCCUGUGGUUUUUUAAAAAGUAUAUUUGAUGUGAAUCUAAAUCUGAGAGAAUUGAUAUGUCAGCCAUGACUUUCAUUCAAUGAUUAUUGUGUAAUUACUCUAAGCUAAGUCCUGUGUAUAAAGCUGUUAAUAAAAUAGACAUGAGGGAAGCCCUUGUUUCAGGCCUUAGCUUAGUUCAUAAGCGCCUAAUUACUUGGGAUUGUCUGGAUUGCUGUGUUGAAAAAUACUGAGGCUCAAUGAAGAUAUUGGUGAUUGAUUAGCCAUGCCUACCAUGGGCAAAUGCAAAGCCUCCUGCACAAAUGGAGCCCAGACACAUGUAGUUCUCUUUUUAAGAGGCAAACCCAAACUAUUUCCUGAAAUUUAGAGUUCUGCCAUAUAGAGCCCAACAUUAUAUCAUUUUAAAAUAUAUCGUUUAAAAAUAAGUCUCCUGUCUUCCUGAUACUUAAAGCUUAUAUCUGAAAUUACCUCUCUAUGGAGAGAAAGAGCUAUAUAAAAGAGACAGAAAUGAGGAGUUUCCAUUGUGGCGCAGUGGUUAACAAAUCCAACUAGGAACCAUGAGAUUGCAGGUUCGAUCCCUGGCCUUGCUCAGUGGG